UACGAAGGGUGCAAACGUUGCUCGGAAUUAUUGGGCGUAAAGCGCGCGUAGGCGGCUUUGCAAGUCGGGUGUGAAAUCCCCAGGCUUAACCUGGGAACUGCAUUCGAGACUGCAUUGCUAGAGUAUGGGAGAGGGAAGUGGAAUUUCCGGUGUAGCGGUGAAAUGCGUAGAUAUCGGAAGGAACAUCAGUGGCGAAAGCGACUUCCUGGACCAAUACUGACGCUCAUGUGCGAAAGCGUGGGGAGCAAACGGG
rnacentral:rRNA from 1 species